rnacentral:rRNA from 1 species
GACGAACGCUGGCGGCGUGCCUAACACAUGCAAGUUGAGCGAUGAAGAUUGGUGCUUGCACCAAUUUGAAGAGCAGCGAACGGGUGAGUAACGCGUGGGGAAUCUGCCUUUGAGCGGGGGACAACAAUUGGAAACGAAUGCUAAUACCGCAUAACAACUUUAAACAUAAGUUUUAAGUUUGAAAGAUGCAAUUGCAUCACUCAAAGAUGAUCCCGCGUUGUAUUAGCUAGUUGGUGAGGUAAAGGCUCAUCAAGGCGAUGAUACAUAGCCGACCUGAGAGGGUGAUCAGCCGCAGUGGGACGGGGACACGGCCCAAACGCCUACGGGAGGCAGCAGUAGGGAAUCUUCGGCAAUGAGCGGAAGUCUGUCCGAGCAACGCCGCGGGAGUGAAGAGGAGUGUCGGAUCGUAAAACUCGGUUGGUAGAGAAGAACGUUGGUGAGAGUGGAAAGCUCAUCAAGUGACGGUAACUGCGCAGAAAGGAACGGCUAACUACGUG